UUCUCACAUUAAAAGCUGAAAAGAAGUAUGCAAGAUCCACCUCGAACCUCUCUCCACUUCCCCACCCCACCCGAAUUUUUUCACCGCCACCACCGCUGCCACCACUAUACAGCCUCCACCACUGUCUCCCCAAUCUGAAACAACAAAUUUCCAAUCUUCUUAUCAUCACUUCCUUUUUUUAUAAUUAAAUUCGUUAACCCAAUAACGACCGCAUACAACAUUUCCCAUUAAUCAAGCACUUUGACUUCAACAAUUGGCAGUUUUGUAAAAUAAUGAGAGAGGAAGACUCGAAUUGCUUCACUAGAUGGGAAGAAGAGCUCCCUUCUCCUGAAGAACUCAUGCCUCUUUCUCAGACCUUAAUCACUCCUGAUCUUGCUCUCGCUUUCGAUAUCCGAAACCCCAUCAACAAUAAGAAUGUUAAUACGUCACCCAGCCAUCUCUCUCAGCCGUUGCAGCAGCCAUCGCAACAAGUUACUCCUCCGCCUGGAGGGAACAACCCUCUGGCUCCGUCUCCCCCCGAAUUCGCAGCUGAGAAUUCGGCGGAGCUGGGUUCCGGUGCCGGCAGCGAUGAACCCGCCAGAACCCUGAAGCGGCCCAGGCUGGUGUGGACCCCACAGCUGCAUAAACGAUUUGUGGAUGCUGUGGCCCACUUGGGGAUUAAGAAUGCUGUGCCCAAGACCAUAAUGCAACUAAUGAGUGUGGAUGGGUUAACGAGAGAGAACGUCGCCAGUCAUUUACAAAAGUACCGCCUUUAUUUGAAAAGAAUGCAAGGGUUAUCCGGCGGUGGUAAUGGUGCUGGAGGCGGAGCUGUUGGGUUAGCAGCGUCAGCUGAUUCAGCCACUGAUCAUUUGUUUGCCAGCUCACCGGUUCCGCCGCAUUUCUUACAUACGGGUCGGAGUAAUUCAGACCAUUUCUUGCCCUAUGUUCCGGUGGCUGCACUGCAGCAUCACCAGCAGCAGAUGGCAGCUAAUCCACUUUACCAUAGGCAAAUGGGUCAUUUUGGAUCGACACCAAACGGGCAAUUCGAGCAUCCAUUUCUUGCGCGACAACCGCCUCAGCAACCUGUUCAUAGGAUAGGGGCACCAGUUCAUAAUUCGGUACCAGGUUAUGUGGAGGAUUUAGAGUCAGCUAAUGGAGGAAGGAGGGUUCUCACUCUAUUUCCUACCGGGGAUGAUUGAAUUUGGGUAAUUGAUUCAACGUACUUUAACUUUUUUUUAUUUAUAGUGUUGUUCUUCCGGGCCGUUGUGUAACUGGAGUUUGGUGGUUAGAAUUGUUGUUGUUAGUUGUUGGUACUAAUCUUGGUGGUAGUCACAAUAUUGAGGGCUUAAAUUGUUAUAUUAAUUGCAUCUUCAGAUCCAAAAACUUCUUUUGUUGUGGUUCUUUUGUCCACGGGUAUGUUGAGUUACCCUUUGUGAGUGAUUAGUAUUUGUAGAGUAGUAUUCAUUGUCUAUCCUUCAAUUCUAAGGGCUUCUACGUAUGUAAAUUGAUUUGUCAGUAGGAGCUUGUUGUGUCUCCUGUUAGCUUCUGGUGACGGAUAUUGAUCGUGAUGUCACUCUAAGCAUUAAUGAUGUUUCUAAGCUUGUCUAUGGAAGCAGUUAUUGCAGUCUUGUGAUAUUGUUUCAAUCUGAGCUUCUUAGAGGUGGCUUUAUGCCACAGUAGUUGGGGGAUCAGCUGUACCUUCUCUCUUUUUAGAGUCUUCUUAUGAGGGACAUAAAUCUUGAUGGCAUUGGCAGUGAGGUUUGCUGGAGAAACAAACUGACCAGAUUUUGAGCUUGCAGUUGAGGAUAAAUAAUGCUUCGCAGUUCAGUGUUCCGUAGAAGUGAGUUGUACUACUUGUACAUUGUGUGACUCCAUAGAAGACUUCAGCUACCCUUGAUGUAAGGGAAUCAUCGAACAAUUCUUAUGUUAUUAGAAUGCUAAAUUUAAUUUCAUUCUCCAUGUAACAUUGAAGUAUCUGAAUCUUUUGAAUUUCCUAGUAUCCAUAUAUUUACUGUGCUUCUGUUAUUGAA